rnacentral:rRNA from 1 species
AAGACAGAGGGUGCAAACGUUGUUCGGAAUUACUGGGCGUAAAGCGCGUGUAGGCGGCAGGGCAAGUCGGAUGUGAAAGCCCACGGCUCAACCGUGGAAGUGCACCCGAUAUUGCUCAGCUAGAGUCUCGGAGAGGAAGGUGGAAUGCUUGGUGUAGAGGUGAAAUUCGUAGAUAUCAAGCAGAACACCGGUGGCGAAGGCGGCCUUCUGGACGAUGACUGACGCUGAGACGCGAAAGCGUGGGGAGCAAACAG